rnacentral:rRNA from 1 species
AGAUUGAACGCUGGCGGCAUGCCUUACACAUGCAAGUCGAACGGCAGCACGGGAGCAAUCCUGGUGGCGAGUGGCGAACGGGUGAGUAAUAUAUCGGAACGUGCCCAGUCGUGGGGAUAACGCAGCGAAAGCUGUGCUAAUACCGCAUACGAUCUAUGGAUGAAAGCGGGGGAUCGACGAACGACCGU